AUGCACGCUGGCGGCGUGCCUAAUACAUGCAAGUCGAGCGCACAGAUAAGGAGCUUGCUCCUUUGACGUUAGCGGCGGACGGGUGAGUAACACGUGGGUAACCUACCUAUAAGACUGGAAUAACUCCGGGAAACCGGGGCUAAUGCCGGAUAACAUUUAGAACCGCAUGGUUCUAAAGUGAAAGAUGGUUUUGCUAUCACUUAUAGAUGGACCCGCGCCGUAUUAGCUAGUUGGUAAGGUAACGGCUUACCAAGGCAACGAUACGUAGCCGACCUGAGAGGGUGAUCGGCCACACUGGAACUGAGACACGGUCCAGACUCCUACGGGAGGCAGCAGUAGGGAAUCUUCCGCAAUGGGCGAAAGCCUGACGGAGCAACGCCGCGUGAGUGAUGAAGGUCUUCGGAUCGUAAAACUCUGUUAUUAGGGAAGAACAAAUGUGUAAGUAACUGUGCACGUCUUGACGGUACCUAAUCAGAAAGCCACGGCUAACUACGUG
rnacentral:rRNA from 1 species